AUUGAACGCUGGCGGCAGGCCUAACACAUGCAAGUCGAACGAGUGGCGGACGGGUGAGUAAUGUCUGGGAAACUGCCUGAUGGAGGGGGAUAACUACUGGAAACGGUAGCUAAUACCGCAUACCAUCGGAUGUGCCCAGAUGGGAUUCGCUAGUAGGUGGGGUAACGGCUCACCUAGGCGACGAUCCCUAGCUGGUCUGAGAGGAUGACAAGCCACCCUGGAACUGAGACAGGGUCCAGACUCAUACGGGAGGCAGCAGCGGGGAAGAUUGCAGAAGAGGCGCAAGCCUGAUGCAGCCAUGGCGCGUGUAUGAAGAAGGCGUUCGGGUUGUAAAGUACUUUCAGCGAGGAGGCGUUACUCGCAGAAGAAGCACCGGCUAACACCGUGCCAGCAGCAGCGGUAAUUC
rnacentral:rRNA from 1 species